rnacentral:rRNA from 1 species
AUGAUGCGCGACCUGCCAAGUGGGUCGCGCCAAAUGGUAGCGUAAGCUUCUACUCUGGGAUGGGCCCGCGCCGGAUUAGCUUGUUGGUGAGGUAACGGCUCACCAAGGCGACGAUCCGUAGCUGGUCUGAGAGGACGAUCAGCCACACUGGGACUGAGACACGGCCCAGACUCCUACGGGAGGCAGCAGUGGGGAAUCUUGCGCAAUGGGCGAAAGCCUGACGCAGCAACGCCGCGUGAGCGAAGACGGCCUUCGGGUUGUAAAGCUCUGUCAGGAGGGACGAAGCCACUCAGGUUAAUAGCCGAGAGGGUGACGGUACCUCCAGAGGAAGCCCCGGCUAACUACGUGCCAGCAGCCGCGGUAAUACGUAGGGGGCAAGCGUUGUCCGGAAUCAUUGGGCGUAAAGAGCGUGUAGGCGGCCAUCCAAGUCCGAUGUGAAAGCUCGGGGCUCAACCCCGAGUCUGCAUUGGAAACUGGGUGGCUAGAGUCCGGAAGA